rnacentral:tRNA from 1 species
GGUUGUGGCUCAGUGGUCGAGCACUUGCCUCCCAAGCAUGAGGCCCUGGGUUCAAUCCUCAAUACCA